GAUCAACAAAAAAUCCUCCAGUAUGUUUAUCCCUGAAAAGAAAAUGAAACAGAACACACGCACGCUGCUUGUAUAAUAGAAAACAGUUGACCUGUAUUAAAUGACUCAAUGUUUUUAAGUCUGUUUUUACAUCUGUUACGCUUCCGCCGGUGGAUGGCGCUGCGGCGUCGAAGCACAAAGACUGCUGCAGAGCGCGCGUGCACGAGACUCUGACAGAUGGACACGCGCGGCUCGUUUGUUUUGAUUUACUUCCUGUCCAGGUAUUGGCUUAUGUUUGAGGGACCUCGCACUCACCAGGCAGUACUGGCCAUUCUCUUCUACGGAAAGUAGCUAAGAUAUAUUUCUGCCACCUGUAAGUCAGAAUGACAAAAUUCUUGACAGUGAUAUCACUCAGUCCAACGGAUCUGACGCACUGAAGGCUGGACAUUGGCAGAUAUCAUCUAUGAUGAAAAAGCCUCCCUUGCGAGACGAGAAUCUUCACCAUCUGAAUCAUGAGUGCCGGUGCCCGUCGUCAGUCCCUUCUCUCUCCGUUACUGGACCUGGAUCUGGAUCUCGAUCUGGACACUCAUUACCAGCUUGUGCAUCUCACUGCUGAUAUCAUGAUGCUACUUAACUAUCUUCGCAGCACCCGCUCUAGGAAUGGAGAUCCGGGGUUCCCCCCUCUUCUUCGAUACAGAAUCUGCCUACAGCAUCUACAGCAAUCUACAGCAAAUAUGCUGUCCGAAAGAACCCGUUAACAUCAAGGGCAACAAGUGCUGAGAUUGUGACGGUGAUGAAAAGGUGGCUGCAGCUGGCUUCAGACCGUGGAGGAGGAUGGAAGAGGUGCAACAAACAGUAGCUUGCCCUGACUAGGAACGCAUAAACCAUUGAAAUCAACGAGGAAAAAAUUCAGCUAAUUGACGCUCUCUCCCUGGGCAAAGCCUGCGAACUUCGCCCGGAGCUCAGUCCAUGUACUUUCGGAAAUUUCGGUUGUGUGGUAUCGCCAUGAGUGAUGCUACUGUACUUUUGACAAGGGGAAUUCAGUUCAAACAUUUUAAUGAAAUAUUUGCACACACACACACACACACACACACACACAGGGCCAUUAGCCAAAAACAACCGGCCUAUGUAGCACCUAUGCCCGCAGCGGACUCUAGCGCAGACUGGGCGGAGUGCGCCUCGCUGACCGACAGCUCCACGACUCAGCUAAUUGCUGUAGCACAUCGUCUUGGUCACGAGCAUGCGUUGUUCGUCUUUUGCGUUCGCACUGUGAACAGGAGACAUUUCUCUAUCACUUUAACGUUUAACACAUUGGAAUGAAUUUGUUAAAAAACAUUUUAAUCAUGCUUACGUAGGUUGCUAGAGCUGUGCGGAUGUCCGACACAGUGAUGUCUCUUCCCACGAGUGCCCGCAGGGCAAGCUUGACAUGCGCAGAAAUCCUGGCCUGUGUGCCAGAAAAGAAAAGCCACCCCACAGAAGUCUCAUAUCCCGGCAUAUGCUUCCUCAGG